rnacentral:lncRNA from 1 species
AUGCAUUUAGAAAAAGCCUUAAGGAUAUGUCUUUUUGCAGAUGGUGUCCUUUAUGUUUAAAUUUGACGAAUUUUGACCUUUAUGUUUAAAAAUCAAGCACGUUUUACCCUUUGAGCCUAACUCAGUCUGUUUUCCUAGUUAAAUUUGAUCACGUGCAUGUCAUGUGAAGGGUAGUUGUGUCAUUUAAUGUGCACAUUCACAAAUGUACAAGAUUCCCCAAAUAUAAACCCUAGCUCUUCAGUAAACCACCACUUUCAUCCUCCACUCUUCUCUGGUUCAUCAAACCGAGCCGAUCACGAGACGCUCUCGAGCCUCUCGAGCCUAGGGGUGUAAACGAGCCGAGCCGAGCCCGAGUAGGCUCGAGCUCGGCUCGUUAGGUUUUUAUGAAGCUCAAGCUCGAGCUCGGCUCGGUUCUAGCCUACUUCUCUGAGGUCGAGCUCGGCUCGCGAGCAAAACCCAAAGCUCGAGCUCGGCUCGAGCUAUUUGGACAACAACCUCAAAUGAGCUAGAAGCUCGGCUCGAGCUCGUUUCAACAGUGAUUAAGCGAGCCAAAGCUCGGCUCGAACUCGGCUCACCAAUGUUAUCAUCAUCAUUAUUAUAUUAUAUAUAAAAAAACUAAAAUUUUGUUUAGGCUCGUUUGGGCUCGCGAGCCUAAACGAGCCUUGUAUUUCAGGCUCGAGCUCAGGCUCGAUAACGAAACGAGCUCUAUUUCAGGCUCGAGCUCGGACUCGAACUCGUUAAGACUCGACUUGUUCGAGCUUUUAACCGAGCCGAUGACGAGUUACUAACGCCCCCAUAACAUACCACAAGCUUAUAUAUUAAAAAUAGACUAGAACCUUUUUUGAGUUAUACAAAAUAGUAUAUAUUUAAGGUAUAAAAUUAAAUCACGAGCGUGGGUGUAAUCGUUACGUUUUGAUGAUUGGAUGGUUUUUGGUGGAUAGCUACUUUCCAGAGCAGAACUGAUUAAACAAGAAAAGGUAAUGCUUUGUUGAGUUGUAACAAUGCAUUUAAAAGUUGUACUUGCUACAGAAUUAGCUAUUUUUGGGGGGAAUAGUUUGUCAGAAAAUUGUAUUAGUCAAAUAAACGGCACAUGAUCACCUGGUCGUUGCAAAUCCCAAAGUUAUUCAAAUUAAACAAAUCUGAUUUGGGUUUAACUUAGAUUAAGCCCUUUGAUUAUAUGAAAACAUCACUUUGGCCCC